UUGGCGUUUUUACAGCCAAGUAGGGGCGCUGUUCUGUCGGUGGCAGCCGUCUGUUAGUUUAUUUAAAGAUAGAAAAUAACUCAUACGCUUUAUUACAUACGGUUUGUCUUUGUAUUGUAGCAGAUUGUAUCGAGAAACGUCUAAAAAUUGGCAAUUUUAAGCUUCUGGUUCUAUAAUUUGUCAUUUUUAAUUUGGAAACACUGCCACGGAGGACCAUCGAAUAAGAACAUUAUACCAACGAAGAAGAGUCGACCAACGACUGUGUACACGCAAUCACGUCAACGUCAUCAAUUGCGGAAGUCAACAUGGAGUGGACGGUUCAAGUCAACGGAGUACCGAUGAAUUCAUCUUUAAACGACGAGUUGUACAUAGAUUUCCUCUCAGAGGGGUUUGAUGUAAAGACAUACACUGCUCAAGCUAUCCACCAUGCUGUCAUUGCUGAGCAGCUGGCCAAGCUGGCGCAAGGAAUCAGUCAACUUGAUAAAGAGCUUCAUAGCCAGGUGGUUGCCAGACAUGAAGAUUUAUUGGCACAGGCAACUGGGAUAGAAUCUCUAGAAGGGGUUCUUCAGAUGAUGCAGACAAGGAUCAGUGCACUACAGGCAACUGUUGAAAGGAUAAGGACUAAAAUUGUGGACCCAUACAACAAGAUUGUGGCCAGGAUCACUCAGCUGGGCAGACUACAGGUUGCCUGUGACCUUUUGCGCAGGAUUAUUCGUAUCUUGCAUUUAAGCAAGAGGCUUCAGGUUCAGCUUCAGGGUGGCAGUCGGGAGAUAACGAAAGCUGCGCAUAGUCUCAACGAACUUGAUUAUCUGUCUCAUGGAGUCAAUUUGAAUGGCAUUGAGGUGAUUGAGAAUGACCUGCUACUGAUCAGUCGAGCAAGACUGGAGGUGGAAAACCAGGCUAAACGAUUAUUAGAGCAGGGUACAGAAAUUCAGAAUCCGACCCAGGUUGGUACAGCCUUGCAAGUCUUCUACAACCUUGGUAAUCUGAGAGAGACUAUCAGCUCUGUUUUGGCGGCCUACCAGACCACCAUACAGGACAGUAUCAUCAGCGCUCUGGACAUUAAGAGCUUAACACAGCCAGCCAACCCCAGAGGUGCCCCAGGAAGAGCAGUGCUCCCAACACCUGGCAGCACAGCAGCUUUCCGUGCUGCUCUUUGGACAAACCUGGAAAAACUAAUGGACCAGAUAUGUGCUGCGUGCAAACAAGUGCAGCAUCUUCAGAAGGUUCUGAUGAAGAAGCGAGACCCUGUCACUCACAGGUGUUUCAUUGAUGAGAUUAUUAAGGAUGGCGAGCCUGAUAUCCUGUACACCUUUUGGACCGAUAUCACCAACAAUCUGAAAGAAGAGUUUCACAAAGCAACUGAAGCAUCAUCUUACCUGAAGCAAGCGUUUGAAGGAGAAUAUCCAAAACUGCUGCGGCUGUACAAUGAACUUUGGCGUCGCCUCCAGCAGUAUAGCGCCAGCCUGCAUGGUGCACUUAUAAACAGUGGCGGAAUAGACACCACUCUGGAGCUAGAAACAGACAGCCUAGACCUCUUCUCUCAAACUAAACAGGACUACAAUCCAGAGAGGGCGCUGAAGGAUUCCCUGCGCCCGUAUGAAGCAGCUUACCUUUCCAAGUCCCUGUCUCGCCUGUUUGAUCCCAUCAACCUGGUGUUCCCAAUGGGCGGACGCAACCCACCCUCACAUGAUGAAUUGGAAAGCAUCAUCAAGACCAUCAGCAGUGAGCUUAAUGUAGCAUCCAUCGAUUCCGACCUUUAUCUUGCUGUUGCCAAGAAUGCUGCCAAGACCGUACAGCUCUUCUGUGUCAAGUCCGAACAGCUGUUGGGUACUCAAGGUGAUGCAAGUCAGGUGAUCGGUCCACUAACUGAAGGCCAGAGGAGGAACAUUGGAGUAGUCAACUCGCUCUACCGUCUGCAGCUUGCUGUUGCCAAGCUAAUUUCUAGUUUGGGGACAAGCAUGACCGCUCCUGCAGAGGCUCUCUCUUCUUCUUUGGAGGAGUGCCAGGCGCUGAUGAGCAGCGCGGUGCAGCCUCUCCUGCAGUCCGUGAGCGACUCAAUAGAGGCCAUUUUAAUCACGCUGCACCAGGAGGACUUCUCAGGGGGGCUGUCCAACACCAGUAAGCCUGAUGUUGUCUGCUCGCUCUACAUGAAGGAGCUGCAGGGUUUUAUCUCCAGAGUGAUGGCCGACUACUUCAGACACUUUGAGUGCACUGAUUUCAUCUAUGAAAGCACAGAAUCCAUUGCUCAGAGAGCGAUCGAGUUAUUCAUACGACAUGCCAGCCUGCUGCGCCCGCUGGGGGAGGGCGGGAAGAUGCAAUUAGCGGCUGACUGUGCACAGAUGGAGUUGGCUGUAGCUCCGUUAUGCAGAAGAGUAUCAGAUUUGGGAAAAGCUUACAGAAUUCUUCGCUCUUUUAGGCCACUGCUGUUUCAGACCAGCAAUCUAAUCAUCAGCAGUUCAGUUGUGGGGGAACUCAUUCCUUACAGCACCGUCCUUCACUUCCUGUUCACCAGGGCCCCGUCUGAGCUCAAGUCACCUUACCAGGCAUGUACACGCACACGCACACACUCUGUGAAUAACCUGAUGGACUUUUCGAGGAGGUGAAAAGUAAAGCAUCAUGUCUUCCACCCCCAGAGAGCAGAGUGGUCCAUCACUAGAUACUCCCAGUGGAUGGACGCUCAUCCCUCAGAGAAAGAUCGCAUUACACUUAUUAGAGGCACUCUGGAGGCGUACGUGCAGUCGGUCAGAGCUCGGCAGGGGAAGGAGUUUGCACCCAUCUAUCCCAUAAUGCUCCAGUUGCUGCAGAGAGCCACUAACGGUGCUUUGGAAGCCAAAGCCCUAGGGUGUUAACACAUGCAUG